rnacentral:rRNA from 1 species
AUACGGAGGAUGCGAGCGUUAUCCGGAUUUAUUGGGUUUAAAGGGUGCGCAGGCGGCCAUUUAAGUCAGCGGUUAAAUCGUGGGGCUCAACCCCAUUCUGCCGUUGAUACUGGGUGGCUUGAUUGCGGUCGAGGUUGGCGGAAUUCGUUGUGCAGCGGUGAAAUGCAUAGAUAUGACGAAGAACACCGAUUGCGUAGGUAGCUGACCAGACCGCAAAUGACGCUCAUGCACGAAAGUGCGGGGAUCGAACAGGAUUAGAUACCCUGGUAGUCCGCACAGUAAACGAUGAAUACUUGUUUUCGGCGAUAUAAUGUCGGAGGCAAAGCGAAAGCGAUAAGUAUUCCACCUGGGGAGUACGCCGGCAACGGUGAAACUCAAAUGAAUUGACGGGG